rnacentral:tRNA from 3 species
GGUCCCGUAGCUCAGCUGGAUAGAGCGCACGCCUCCGAAGCGUGAGGUCACAGGUUCGAAUCCUGUCGGGACCGCCA